rnacentral:misc_RNA from 1 species
AAAUUGGUGGCUGUGACCACAAUUGAGCCUGGCAGACACCAUUUUGGGUCAUCCUUACAUUUUAUUUCAAAACAGGCUCCACAGCUCAAGCCAUUGUUGAACAAGGCUGUGCUCAAAGCUGCUGUGUCUUUCCCAUAACCUUGGCUGUAUAGGUUUCCAUACCCACAAGCGCCACCCAUUGUACCAGAGGCAUCACCACCUCCAUAGAAGGUA